GCUUUUAUAGUUUAAAAAAAACAACAGUCUUGUAAACUGUAAUUGUACAAACUAAAAGUA
rnacentral:tRNA from 1 species